ensembl:lncRNA
GAGGCGGUGGGAGCCCGUGCGGCUUGGCCGGGGGAGGGCCUGCGGAGGGGACGUGGGACGGGCGUGAGAGGUGGCGGAGCGGCUGGGGCUCCGUCUUUAGCGGGUCUGUGGAGGCGUCUUAAUCUUCCUGAGUGGGCGCGGGGAAGGCGCAGCCCACCAGACGCCGUGUUAAAGGGAAAGUCGGUUGACGAGGGAAGCGACGCGGCCCGGGGCCGCCCGGAGUCCCGCCCCAGCGCUGCGAAGGAUCGGGGCAGAGCGGUGGGCAGGUCGGCCUGGCUCCCCGCCUGCUUCCCAGCCGGGCCUGGCGCCGCUUCCCCGCCUCGGCCGAGGGGCUGUCCCGGCGCCGCCCCGAGGGCUCCUCCCUGCGCCGGGGCCCCGGCCGCCGUGCCGCGCGCGGGCCCGGUGGCUCACAUCAGCCGCGGCGCGGCGCCUUGUCUCGGGCUGAGUUUUAGGGACCUGGACUCUUGAGCUGAGCUGCGAACGCAUCGUGAUAAUGCUCUUUCGUUUAAGCGCUGGGACAGUUACAGUGAGGAGUAGUUGUUAGUCCGGGGGACAGGUGGUUCCUGACACGGUGCAUCCCCAGACUCCAUACUGUGUAAAGUAUGCGCAGAAGCUCCAGGGAGGAUUUUCUUAGUCUGGAGAGGUCAGCUCUGCUGCUGCUGAAUUGUAACUAGGCAAGUUAUUACUGAACUGCAAGUUUCUUGUCUCUGCCAUCUUUUCUACCUGUCCUGUUAUGUUUUGUUAGUACUAGAUAAUUUCUGUGGAAUUGCUUUAAAACAAUGAAAGCACUUCAUAUCUUUUUCUAUUUAUAGUGAGAAUGAAUGAUUCCAUUCACAUUCUUGCCAGUAAACUGAUUAAGCUGAGAGGAUUGGGCCAUAGGGAGAGACUAGUUACAGGAUUAAGGAGGUACUGUUUCUAUGUGUGGAAAAGGUCUUUGGAGUUCUUAAACUAUUUUCAGCCUCCAAAUCCUUGGAAUUGUAUGGGCAUCAUUUAAAGAGUGGAACUAAAAAAAAUUACUAGUCUAUAGUUGAAUUUUAAAAAAUGCUUCUUGUGUAUCUAAGUAUUUUACAUUUGUUUAAUAGCUCUGGUAUUCUUUUCAGUUAAGUUUUCUAGACUUUUAUAAAGAAAGAUAGUCUUCAAGAACUUAAUACAUUCCUCAAGGGGAAACAAAGGCUUAGAGCCAUGUGCGAGAAACUGAGUGUUCUGAAGUACCAGGUUAGGAUUUGACAAAAUGUCAGUAAGUGGAUGUUAAUGUACGUUACCCACCUGUCCUCUAAACUACAGAAUGCUUUUGACUAGAAUGGCUUAUAAGCAGACACCCAAAGUUCUUCCCCAUAAGGUUAAAUAAUGACAAAUAAUGUAAUUUCCAGUGUUUUGUAAAGUGUCAUUUUACGAUAACUGUCACUCUUUUAACUGUAUGGAAUGGAAUUAAGUGGCAUAGUGUUUUGAUGCCCAUCAUCUAUUUAAAAAAAGUGAACUAGCUCUCUCAUAGUCAAAGUUUUAGAGCGUAUUGCUAUUCUAUCCCCUACAGCAGUGGUUCUCAGUUAGGGACUGUUGCCUCCUAGGAACAGUGGGCACUAUCCGGAGACGUUUUUGGUACAUAACUAGGGAGUAGGGGUUACUGGCAUCUAGUGGGAAAAGGCCAGAUAUUGCAAAACAUCUUGCAUUGCUCAAAGCAACCCCAACAACAAAGAAUUAACCAGCCCAAAAUGUCAGUAGUGCUAUGCUAUUGAGAACCUUGACCUACAGAAUUCUACUCUUACGUAGUAUGGUUUUAGGUGAAAGUUUUAUUGGUUAUCAUUCUUUCCUGCAGCAAAAAAAAGUGCAUAUUUAAAUUUAUUGCAUAUCUUGUGAUCAAAAUGUUCUAAAUGUCAAUUCUGAAAAGAUCUUUUGUGUCAUUACAACUAUUACUAGUAUAUAGC